rnacentral:rRNA from 1 species
ACAGCAGCAGCCACGGGAAUACAGAGGGUGCGAGCGUUAAUCGGAUUUACUGGGCGUAAAGCGUGCGUAGGCGGCUUCUUAAGUCGGAUGUGAAAUCCCUGAGCUUAACUUAGGAAUUGCAUUCGAUACUGGGAAGCUAGAGUAUGGGAGAGGAUGGUAGAAUUCCAGGUGUAGCGGUGAAAUGCGUAGAGAUCUGGAGGAAUACCGAUGGCGAAGGCAGCCAUCUGGCCUAAUACUGACGCUGAUGUACGAAAGCAUGGGGAGCAAACAGGAUUAGAUACCCGAGUAGUCCCUGUCUCUUAUAC